GACGAACGCUGGCGGCGUGCUUAACACAUGCAAGUCGAACGAUGAAGCCGGAGCUUGCUCUGGUGAAUUAGUGGCGAACGGGUGAGUAACACGUGAGUAACCUGCCCUUGACUCUGGGAUAACUGCUAGAAACUGUAGCUAAUACCGGAUACGACCCUCGGAGGCAUCUCCUGGGGGUGGAAAGAAUUUCGGUCAAGGAUGGACUCGCGGCCUAUCAGCUAGUUGGUGAGGUAACGGCUCACCAAGGCGACGACGGGUAGCCGGCCUGAGAGGGUGACCGGCCACACUGGGACUGAGACACGGCCCAGACUCCUACGGGAGGCAGCAGUGGGGAAUAUUGCACAAUGGGCGCAAGCCUGAUGCAGCAACGCCGCGUGAGGGAUGACGGCCUUCGGGUUGUAAACCUCUUUUAGCAGGGAAGAAGCGAAAGUGACGGUACCUGCAGAAAAAGCACCGGCUAACUACGUGCCAGCCGCCGCCGUAA
rnacentral:rRNA from 1 species